rnacentral:rRNA from 1 species
ACGGAAGGCAGCAGUGGGGAAUAUUGGGCAAUGGGCGAAAGCCUGACCCAGCAACGCCGCGUGAAGGAAGAAGAUUUUCGGAUUGUAAGCUUCUUUUAUGAGGGACGAAGGACGUGACGGUACCUCAUGAAUAAGCCACGGCUAACUACGUGCCAGCAGCCGCGGUAAUACGUAGGUGGCGAGCGUUAUCCGGAUUUACUGGGUGUAAAGGGCGCGUAGGCGGGGUGACAAGUCAGAUGUGAAAUCUAUGGGCUCAACCCAUAAACUGCAUUUGAAACUGCCACUCUUGAGUGCUGGAGAGGUAGACGGAAUUCCUUGUGUAGCGGUGAAAUGCGUAGAUAUAAGGAAGAACACCAGUGGCGAAGGCGGUCUACUGGACAGUAACUGACGCUGAGGCGCGAAAGCGUGGGGAGCAAACAGGAUUAGAUACCCUGGUA